AGUCCUGUAGCUUAGUGGUUAGAGCACUCGUCUUGAAAAUGAGAGGACCUGGGUUCGAUUCCCAGGCAGUGCGA